rnacentral:rRNA from 1 species
UGGGGAAUAUUGCACAAUGGGGGAAACCCUGAUGCAGCGACGCCGCGUGAGUGAGGAAGUAUUUCGGUAUGUAAACUUCUUUUAUUAAGGACGAAGAAUGACGGUACUUAAUGAAUAAGCUCCGGCUAACUACGUGCCAGCAGCCGCGGUAAUACGUAGGGAGCAAGCGUUGUCCGGAUUUACUGGGUGUAAAGGGUGCGUAGGCGGCAAAGCAAGUCAGAUGUGAAAUGUAUGGGCUCAACCCAUGAACUGCAUUUGAAACUGCAUUGCUUGAGUGAAGUAGAGGCAGGCGGAAUUCCCUGUGUAGCGGUGAAAUGCGUAGAGAUAGGGAGGAACACCAGUGGCGAAGGCGGCCUGCUGGGCUUUAACUGACGCUGAGGCACGAAAGCGUGGGUAGCAAACAGGAUUAGAUACCCUGGUAGU